rnacentral:rRNA from 1 species
UACGAAGGGGGCUAGCGUUGUUCGAAAUUACUGGGCGUAAAGCGUAUGUAGGCGGAUCUUUAAGUCAGGGGUGAAAUCCCGAGGCUCAACCUCGGAACUGCCUUUGAUACUGGGGAUAUCGAGUCCGGGAGAGGUGAGUGGAACUGCGAGUGUAGAGGUGAAAUUCGUAGAUAUUCGCAAGAACACCAGUGGCGAAGGCGGCUCACUGGCCCGGUACUGACGCUGAGGCGCGAAAGCGUGGGGAGCAAACAGG